UAGCUACUAGCUAUGGACCCGAAGGUCUGUGGUGAACUACUCACGCAUCAUCGGAGAGGAAAUGGUGUUGAUGAAGAAGCCCUCCAUGUCCGAAUCCCCCUCCGACAGGGCACCAGAACGUGCCCCACAUGGGAUCUUGCGGAGACAGAAGCUUGCGGCGGAGGAAAAGUAUUUUCGUGGCUCUCACGUGCUUUCAGAUUUUUUGGGGAU
rnacentral:lncRNA from 1 species